rnacentral:rRNA from 1 species
UAUGCAACCUUCCCACUCGAUACGCCGCUGCCCAGUGAUUACUUUAACGGCCGCGGUACCCUGACCGUGCAAAGGUAGCAUAAUCAUUUGCCUUUUAAUUGGAGGCUAGUAUGAAUGGUCUAACGAGAGUAAAACUGUCUCAUAUAUAUUUAGCAGAAAUUAACUUAAAGGUACAAAGGCCUUUAUCUAUCAAAAAGACGAGAAGACCCUGUUGAGCUUUAAUCUUAACGAGCAUUUUCUUUAUAUUCAUAAAUCUAUUUUGCCCGCUAAAGAUUUUAAUUGGGGCGAUUAAGGAACACCUACCAGCUUCCUGAAUUUAUCUAAAAAUAUUUAUAAACUAAAUCGAUCCAACAAUGUUGAUCAGCAAAACGAGUUACCACAGGGAUAACAGCAUAAUUCUUCUCAAGAGCCCAUAUCGAAAGAAGAGAUUGUGACCUCGAUGUUGGACUAGGGUAACCAGAAGGUGCAGCCGCUUUCUUGUUUGGUCUGUUCGACCAAUAAUUCCCUACGUGAUCUGAGUUCAGACCGGA